rnacentral:piRNA from 1 species
UGUAAAACGAGUCAGGGACUGUGCCU